GAAUGCAUAUAUCUUUUUGAAUUAGUGUUUUUAUUUUCUUUGUGUAAAUACCCAGUAGUCGGAUUACUGGAUUGUGUGGUAAUUCUAUUUUCAAUUUUUUGAGGAACCUCCAUACUGUUUUCCAGAG